UCGAGGAUCUUCGUCAAUGGGCGAAAGCCUGAACGAGCGAUGCCGCGUGAGCGAUGAAGGCCUUCGGGUUGUAAAGCUCAAAAGAAGCGAGAAAGGGAAACUUGAUCAAGCUUCAGUAAGCUCGGGCUAAGUUCGUGCCAGCAGCCGCGGUAAGACGAACCGAGCGAACGUUGUUCGGAAUCACUGGGCUUAAAGGGCGCGUAGGCGGGCUUGCAAGUCCGUGGUGAAAUACCUCAGCUCAACUGAGGAACUGCCUCGGAUACUGCUAGUCUCGAGGGUGGUAGGGGUAUGCGGAACUAUCGGUGGAGCGGUGAAAUGCGUUGAUAUCGAUAGGAACUCCGGUGGCGAAGGCGGCAUACUGGACCACUUCUGACGCUGAGGCGCGAAAGCCAGGGGAGCA
rnacentral:rRNA from 1 species